CAAAUCCCCAGAAGACAUCCUUGACAUCUGUGGCAUCUGUGUGGCCAAGACUUCAUUGCAGGACUUUUAAGCUGGGAAGGUGCUCCAUGAAAGCACUAUGCAAACAUAUAUGGAAAAUAGCUUUAGGAGAUUUUUCUGGGCUGCAUUUGUGUUGGGCAGCAUGGUGCAAAAUAUGGGGAAGAAUUGAAGACGCAGAUGUGUGUGCUGCAGCAGCAGCUCUUACCAUGAAAGAAACAGAAAGUGAUGAUGUAGCCAAUCUUUUGGAAGAAGGGACCAUGUCAAGAGGGUCUGUACAAGAGUGAAGUUCAUUGGGUCAUUGCUGCUUUCCAUGGAAGCCUGGAUGGAUUUACUGCUUCUUUUCACCACAGACUGCUCUGGAAAAACAGUAUUAAAUAUGCCCUGGAAUUUAUAAAGCCAUCAUUCCUGAGAAAUAUGACUCAGAAUGGUGUUUGCCACCAUCUCACCUUCACAUUUGAGGACACUUAGAGGAUGCAGCUGUGCACCCAGGUGGUGGAGAUUUUGUCUGUCUGUGCAAUUUGAAGAGAGGAUUGUAGAGAGUAAGAUGGAGGCAAGUAUGCUUUAUUUUAAUUAAAAUGCUA